GACGAACGCUGGCGGCGUGCUUAACACAUGCAAGUCGAACGGAAAGGCCCUGCUUUUGUGGGGUGCUCGAGUGGCGAACGGGUGAGUAACACGUGAGUAACCUGCCCUUGACUUUGGGAUAACUUCAGGAAACUGGGGCUAAUACCGGAUAGGAGCUCCUGCUGCAUGGUGGGGGUUGGAAAGUUUCGGCGGUUGGGGAUGGACUCGCGGCUUAUCAGCUUGUUGGUGAGGUAGUGGCUUACCAAGGCUUUGACGGGUAGCCGGCCUGAGAGGGUUGCCGGCGUCAUUGGGCCUGAGAUACGGCGCAGACUCCUACGGGAGGCAGCAGUGGGGAAUAUGGCACAAUGGGCGGAAGCCUGAUGCAGCAACCCCGCGUGCGGGAUGACGGCCUUCGGGUUGUAAACCGAUUUCGCCUGUGACGAAGAGUGAGUGACGGUAAUGGGUAAAGAAGCACCGGCUAACUACGUG
rnacentral:rRNA from 1 species